rnacentral:rRNA from 1 species
UAGGGAAUUUUUCACAAUGAGCGAAAGCUUGAUGGAGCAAUGCCGCGUGAACGAUGAAGGUCUUUAAGAUUGUAAAGUUCUAUUUGGGAAGAAUGACUUUAGCAGGUAAUGGCUAGAGUUUGACUGUACCAUUUUGAAUAAGUGACGACUAACUAUGUGCCAGCAGUCGCGGUAAUACAUAGGUCGCAAGCGUUAUCCGGAUUUAUUGGGCGUAAAGCAAGCGCAGGCGGAUUGAAAAGUCUGGUGUUAAAGGCAGCUGCUUAACAGUUGUAUGCAUUGGAAACUAUUAAUCUAGAGUGUGGUAGGGAGUUUUGGAAUUUCAUGUGGAGCGGUGAAAUGCGUAGAUAUAUGAAGGAACACCAGUGGCGAAGGCGAAAACUUAGGCCAUUACUGACGCUUAGGCUUGAAAGUGUGGGGAGCAAAUAGGAUUAGAUACCCUAGUAGUCCACACCGUAAACGAUAGAUACUAGCUGUCGGGGCGAUCCCCUCGGUAGUGAAGUUAACACAUUAAGUAUCUCGCCUGGGUAGUACAUUCGCAAGAAUG